rnacentral:rRNA from 1 species
AUACGGAGGAUCCGAGCGUUAUCCGGAUUUAUUGGGUUUAAAGGGAGCGUAGGUGGGAUAUUAAGUCAGCUGUGAAAGUUUGGGGCUCAACCUUAAAAUUGCAGUUGAUACUGGUUUCCUUGAGAACGGUACAGGUGGGCGGAAUUCGUGGUGUAGCGGUGAAAUGCUUAGAUAUCACGAAGAACUCCGAUCGCGAAGGCAGCUCACCGGGCCGGAACUGACACUGAUGCUCGAAAGUGCGGGUAUCAAACAGGAUUAGAUACCCUGGUAGUCCGCACAGUAAACGAUGAAUACUCACUGUUUGCGAUACACGGUAAGCGGCCAAGCGAAAGCGUUAAGUAUUCCACCUGGGGAGUACGCCGGCAACGGUGAAACUCAAAUGAAUUGGCGGGG